rnacentral:rRNA from 1 species
CCUACGGGAGGCAGCAGUGGGGAAUAUUGCACAAUGGGGGAAACCCUGAUGCAGCGACGCCGCGUGAGUGAAGAAGUAAUUCGUUAUGUAAAGCUCUAUCAGCAGGGAAGAAAAUGACGGUACCUGAGUAAGAAGCCCCGGCUAACUACGUGCCAGCAGCCGCGGUAAUACGUAGGGGGCAAGCGUUAUCCGGAUUUACUGGGUGGAAAGGGAGCGUAGACGGCAGUGCAAGUCUGGAGUGAAAGGCGGGGGCUCAACCCCCGGACUGCUCUGGAAACUGGACGGCUGGAGUGCAGGAGAGGUAAGUGGAAUUCCUAGUGUAGCGGUGAAAUGCGUAGAUAUUAGGAGGAACACCAGUGGCGAAGGCGGCUUACUGGACUGUAACUGACGUUGAGGCUCGAAAGCGUGGGGAGCAAACAGGAUUAGAUACCCCAGUAGUC